GGGCAGGACGACACCGCUGGGGGCCGAGGGCAGGGCACGCCUUCGGAAUCCGGCUUCGAAGCCGGCCGCCUGACCUGGGGCAAGUGCUUUCAACUCUCUGAACUUCGGUUCCUCAUCUGCCAGUUGGCAGACGCUCAGCAAAUCUUCCUAGACUCACGGGGCGAAUUGUACAGUUGGGUAAAUCGAGGCCCAGAGAUGGCAAAAGGACCGUCCAAGGUCGUACAGCCACCCGGAAUUACAAUUCUUUUCUGCCGGGUCACACGCUGUCAUCCACGUGUUACCUAAGAGAGCUUUCCAGCCUGUGCUAAGAAAACUGCCCCACAUCAUCUGCAGUAGGACGGGGGAGUUGGAGCCCUGGUCAGGCCACUCUGCUACUGACCACAGUUUUCUCAUCUCUAAAAAGGCGCAGUAACAAUAUAAUUACCGUAUGCAGUCCCCCAGGAUACAGGGUCAAAGGAGAGCACAACCAUCGCAGUUGGAAGCCCAUGGGGCAGCCCAGUGCAGAUGCAUCUGACUUACGAAACUUCAGUGACACCUGCUCUGUGCCAGACACUGAAGAUGGAGCAGUGAACAGCACUGACCCAGCCUGUCCUCCUGUUGCCUGCAGGCCAGACGGAGUCUCACUCUGUCACCAGGCUGGAGUACAGUGGUGUGAUCUCGGCUCACUGCAACCUCCGCCUCCCAGGUUCAAGCGAUUCUCCUGCCUCAGCCUCUCAAGUAGCUGAGAUUACAGACGUGUGUCACCAUGCCCUGUUAAUUUUUGUUUGUUUGUUUUGUUUUUUGUUUUGUUUUGUUUCGUUUUUUGUUUUUUUUUUUUGAGACGGAGUCUUGCUCUGUCGCCCAGGCUGGAGUGCAGUGGCCCCGAUCUCGGCUCACCGCAAGCUCCGCCUCGCGGGUUCAUGCCAUUCUCCGGCCUCAGCCUCCCGAGUAGCUGGGACUACAGGCAUCCGCCACCACACCCAGCUAAUUUUUUGUAUUUUUUUUAGUAGAGACGGGGUUUCACUGUGUUAGCCAGGAUGGUCUCGAUCCCCUGACCUUGUGAUCCACCCAAGGCCUCGGCCUCCCAAAGUGCUGGGAUUACAGGCAUGAGCCACCGUGCCCGGUCAAUUUUUAUAUUUUUUGUAGAGACAGGGUUUCACCAUGUUGGCCAGGCUGGUGUCGAACUCCCGACCUCAGGUGAUUGUCGGCCUUGGCCUCCCAAAGUGCUGGGAUUACAGGCGUGAGCCACCGCGCCCAGCCGGUGGGCAGCCAGUUGUGUUCCGGGAGGAGGAGGACACCCUGGAAAGACAGUGGGGCCAGACACUGAACUGCCUUUGGAAGCAAGUAGGAGCAACAGCGAAGGUUUGCUGGCUCAGAAGCAAGGUCUCGCUGUGUUACCCUGGCUGGAGUGCAGUGGCUACUUACAGGCAUGAUCAUAGCAUACUGCAGCCUCGAACUCCUGGACUAGAGCAGUUCUCCUGCCUCAGCCUCCAGAGCAGCUGGGACUGCAGACACGCACCACAGAGCCCAGCCUGAGUCAUUUUGAUUCUGUAACUGGCUUCCUCUCGGCGGGCAGGCUCACACCCUCCACCCCCAGCUGGAGAUGGAAGGAGGAUGCUCACCGCCCAUUCCUCAUGCAGGCCAUCGAUGGAAAUGUCAGACAGUGCGAGUCCACGCCUGAACACUUCUGGGGUCCGCUCUGGGACUGACACUGGCAGAUCCAUCGGUGAGCUCCCGCCUGCCACCUCUGGGCCUGCAUUGCGGUGAUAGGGCCAAGGGCCUGGGCCUUCAAUUCUCCAGACUUGCCAAAAUGCUCAGCGCAGGCCUCGUCGGCAACUGCAGACAAGCAGAGGCAGCACCUGGGCUCUGCCUGUGCCUGGCACAGUGAAGCGAGGGUGGGGGCAGGAAUGAGGGUCCUCUCCAUGCAAGGGGGGAAGAUAGAAGAACAAAAUUUCACCCUAAUGUAGUGUCUUUAGACCGUGCAAUGUUGUGCUCCUGUUAGUCUGAUAUCAGGGGCUUGCAGCCUGGCAAAGGAAAAAAAACAGGCUGAGGCACAUGAUAGAAGACAGGCAGGGAUGCCACAAUCAUAACCAUGGCAAAGACCAGGAUCAGAAAGGCCCACCAUCUCUGACCCCAAAUCCCUGGGCAGAUGGUUCCAGAACUCAGAAUUUUCCCAGUUGUAGAAAGAUGGGGCCAGGUGCAGUGGCUCACGCCUGUAAUCCCAGCAUUUUGGGAGUACAAGGUGGGCGGAUCACCUGAGGUCAGGAGUUCGAGACCAGCCUGGCCAACAUGGUGAAACCCUGUCUCUACUAAAAAAAAAAAAAAAAA
rnacentral:lncRNA from 1 species